rnacentral:lncRNA from 1 species
UUACAGACUGACCUGACUGCUUCACUUUCGAAACCUCAUUCAUUAUCAUCAUCUUCGACAGAGUCUCUGGCAUCCAAUCCUGCGCUGGACAACAAAGAAAACAUCACCCAGACUGCCAAGCCAAGAAAAGAGCCACGAUUAACAUCUAAAAAGCCACUAACGCAGCGCAACACUUGACAUAAUACUUUUAUGCUUCCAUUCACUGAGGACUGCAAGUCAAGGCAAACGUACUAAAACCACGAGCUCGCUAAGCAUCUGGUGCCUCUGCAGCAACGCAGGUCUUCUGCUUCAGUCACUCAAAA